ensembl:lncRNA
AGAUGGACUUAAAUUUGUUUAGGAUUGUGCCUACGGCUAGAAGCGUUCCCUUUCUCUUGAAUCAGCCAUAUUUGGUUCAUGGCAAAACAAACUCUUAUAGUGAUUUCUUUUAACCCUUCUUUUGAACCUCGCAAAGGCAAUUUCAAGGUUCACUCUUUGGCGUUACACAACCUUCAGGAGAUUUGUCUUAAGCUGUGUCGUGCGCAAAUAUCGCAGCGAUGAUCAUCAGACUCGGCAGACUGACUCCUGGAUACUUCCGUCUCCUGCAGGUGUGUAUUUGAUCAAAUCUUUUAACUUGGUUCAAUCUGUGAAUAAUAAUAAUAACUUUUAAAAGUUUUUUUUUUUUUUUUUUUUUUUUUAAUCGAUCAUAUGAUGAGGAACCAAAUUAUUUCAAAUCUUUGGAGAUAAAAGCAUUUAUUGUACUAUGACAGCAUAUUGUAGCUUUCAGAACACAACUUCCUUCCAAGUGAAAAACUGCUUUUUUUUUUUUUUUUUUUUUUUUUUUUUUUUUUUUAACUCUGUGUCAUUAGAUAUUAGUCUGACGGAUUAAUAGUUUCAGCUGUUGUACUGCUGUACAUUACCUGCUCAUUUAAAAAAAAAAAAAAAAAAAAGUCUCAUUCAGCAAAAAUGUUCCUAUGUAAAACAUUACACGCACCUCAGAACGAGCAGACGGAACACAAUGAAUGCGGUUAUUGCUUUCGGAGCUGGAUGCUGCUGUUUGGGAAUGCAGUCGAAUGCAGUCAGUUCUGAGAGGCAAUUAUACAGAAAUACUUUGAUGACAGACUUUGCUCGGGCAUUUCAGAAUGACCAUAU